rnacentral:rRNA from 1 species
UGCAGUCGACGAUGACCACUUCGGUGGGGAUUAGUGGCGAACGGGUGAGUAACACGUGGGCAAUCUGCCCUUCACUCUGGGACAAGCCCUGGAAACGGGGUCUAAUACCGGAUAACACUGCCACGGGCAUCUGUGGUGGUUAAAAGCUCCGGCGGUGAAGGAUGAGCCCGCGGCCUAUCAGCUUGUUGGUGAGGUAAUGGCUCACCAAGGCGACGACGGGUAGCCGGCCUGAGAGGGCGACCGGCCACACUGGGACUGAGACACGGCCCAGACUCCUACGGGAGGCAGCAGUGGGGAAUAUUGCACAAUGGGCGAAAGCCUGAUGCAGCGACGCCGCGUGAGGGAUGACGGCCUUCGGGUUGUAAACCUCUUUCAGCAGGGAAGAAGCGAAAGUGACGGUACCUGCAGAAGAAGCGCCGGCUAACUACGUGCCAGCAGCCGCGGUAAUACGUAGGGCGCAAGCGUUGUCCGGAAUUAUUGGGCGUAAAGAGCUCGUAGGCGGCUUGUCACGUCGGGUGUG